rnacentral:lncRNA from 1 species
GUUCUGAUUCUCUGAAGAAUGCAGACGAACAUACCGGGCUUCCUAAUGCCUUGUCUCUUCCACUCAGGAAAGGACUCCUAGCUCUAUGUGGCACUCACGGCUUUCUCCUUCCCCGAGAGGGAUGGCACAGUCUGAAGGGAUGUUUACAACAAAGAGAAAAAGAAGCAAGCUCCAGAGCUAGAAGUAAAUGUGGUGUUAUAACGGCAUGUAAAUGGGGCGCAACCUCUCUAUUAAACAUGGUUUAAAAAAAUCAGUUUGUAUCAAUGAAGUGCUGAGGUUACAGGAUGCUUUUUUAAAAUAAAGAAAUGCUGUGUUAUUACUUUAAAACACAUAUAGCAUUCAAUCAGAUUAGCA